rnacentral:rRNA from 1 species
GACGAACGCUGGCGGCGUGCUUAACACAUGCAAGUCGAACGGAAAGGCCCUGCUUUUGUGGGGUGCUCGAGUGGCGAACGGGUGAGUAACACGUGAGUAACCUGCCCUUGACUUUGGGAUAACUUCAGGAAACUGGGGCUAAUACCGGAUAGGAGCUCCUGCUGCAUGGUGGGGGUUGGAAAGUUUCGGCGGUUGGGGAUGGACUCGCGGCUUAUCAGCUUGUUGGUGGGGUAGUGGCUUACCAAGGCUUUGACGGGUAGCCGGCCUGAGAGGGUGACCGGCCACAUUGGGACUGAGAUACGGCCCAGACUCCUACGGUAGGCAGCAGUGGGGAAUAUUGCACUAUGGGCGGAAGCCUGAUGCAGCAACGCCGCGUGCGGGAUGACGGCCUUCGGUUUGUAAACCGCUUUCGCCUGUGACGAAGCGUGAGUGACGGUAAUGGGUAAAGAAGCACCGGCUAACUACGUG